AAGGACAAAUGACAAUGACAGCUCAUUUCGAGCUUAUAGCAAAACUGGCAGUAUGUGACGUACUCGAAAAUAGCGAAAAUCGCUCGAAUCGAGCUGCACAAUGCCACCCCUGUUACAUGCUAGAAUGAGAAGAAGAAGAAGAACUUUGAUGGCAGAAAAAGUGCUAAAAGGCGAAAAAUGGCCUGUGCUGUAAUAUGCUGCCAGCGAACAAGAAAAUAUUGCCCGGACAUACAUUUUUUCCCGGUUCCAAAGAAUGCCGAUGCCAGAAGGAUUUGGCUUCAACGAUGCGGCAUUUACGUUAAAGACCCGAUAUCAAAAUUGUUGCUGACCAAGAGAAUGUAUGUUUGUGAUAAACAUUUUGAGCCGGAUGAUUAUCGAAUAUUCAAUGUGGAAUCGAAAAAUCUAAAAGUACGUUUCCGGUUGUAUUCAGACAUUCUACCACACAAAAACCUGCCGCUUGAAUGCUCGGGUGUAAUCUAUUCGUUUUUGAGCAGUGACGCGGAUCCACUUGAAUUUGCUGAUGAAUCAGAAAGAGGCUCAAGCCUUGAAUGCACGGCGAAGAGUAUCAAAUCUCCCGAUAGCUGACUAGCCCAAAAUCGAUUGAAGCACUUCGAGUGAUCUUUUGCUUCACUGUCGAAGUGUGAUGCUCUGUGCGGAAAACCGAGUGGCAACUUGUCACUGUUGCCAACAAGGUUUGAAAACUUUGAGCAGCAACGUUAAUGCCCAUGUUAAAAAAUUGGUCAAAUUUUAGUUUCUUGCAUUCUAUGAGUUGCAGAAAAGUGCUGUGUGGAGACCAGUUUCACUAUGUUUAUUAAAAAAAGAACGUUUUUAUCUUUCAUAUUAGUUGUAUAUUUAAGUCUUUUAAACGUUUGACUUUCCCUGGGCUUGGUGGUUGAGCUCCUAUCUCGGGUUCUUAUAGCUUUACGGAAUCCUAAGAUGGAGUCACAAAACUAUUGUAUGAGAGUUUUGACAGCCCAAGGGCGCGUGCUCCCGGGUGGCGGAUGGGAGCUAAGGGAGAUGAUGAGAGUCAGAUACCUAUGUUGUAGUCUUUCCUACUCUGAUCUCGGCAAUCUCCUAUGUGAGAAAGUUUCUUAACAAUAUCAACACUAAAGAAUUUUUCUCGCACGUGGACCAGACCACUUAGUGCAAGCUCUUUUCUUGUCUAUAUCCAUGAAUGCAUUACAGUCCCACAUGAUACUUCGUUACUUAUUAGAUAGAAUGAAUUAAUGCUUUUACAUUUUUCUGGCAGUGUGACUCAUGCAUUCAUGGAUGGACUGUAGUUAAACGUGAACUUAAAUUCUUCACUUUUUACUGUUAGUUCCAUGUGCAAAGUUGUAUUGUUAUAUGUAGUAUUAUUUAGUAAACGUGUACGUGGUUUCUUUAUAGACUACAUCGUUCAUAUAUAGGUACAUUCUUUUUCACUUUUCUUUUUUUUUUUUUUUUAAUAACUCACGAUUUUAUUCCGAGUUUCAUAAUGAAACUUCGAGUUUAGGUGUCUAGAUAAGUGUUGAAUUCACCAACACAGCGAAAUUUGAUCAAGGAACCACAGUUCUUCGUUUCAAAGCUAAGUAUUAUUUUAUCAUGUUUGUUUUUGUCAAUUGAUUAGAAUAUGUUGUUAUUAUUAUGUUCUGUUUUUAUUUUGAUUAUUGUUAUUAUUUCAAUUGUUACGAUUAUCAUUGGUAUUAUCAUUAUUUUUAUUAGUAUCAUCAUUAUUUUUCAGCAUAGUAAACUCAACAAACAAACAGACAUACAUUUACACAUACAUACAUUUACACACACACGCACUCACACUUACACACACCUAUUAAUUAUUCAGAGAUCCUUGCCUUUCCUUAUCCUUCGGCAGUUAAUUGACUAGUUAUAACUCAGGGGUCUUGCCAAGAUGCUACCCUAACAAGACAGUAUUUUUGCAACUUGCCCAGGGUUAUUCUAGUUAAUUACACAGAAUUUAAUUGACCAGCUAGUUACUGAGGCUGUGAUGCCAAUCCUUUCAUCACUGGUAUAGCAUGAAUGGUGCCUCAUAACACCAGUGACCCGGCCCUUGGCCCCCUUCUAUUCCUCACAAAUACAAAUACAAAAAAUUAAACGUUUGACUUUCAAGAGAUACUUACAACAUCUUGGUGGUAAACAUCGAUACAAAGAAAGUAAAUUAUAAAUAUUUGUUUUUAUUUGAAACCCUAGUUGAGAAAUACAGCUACAGUUUUAAAUGUUCUACUGCAAGAUUGAAAGAGAAAUAGUAAACUGUUGUUCAACAUUUAACUUAGCCUUACACUAUCAAAACCAUUACAACCCGGUUGAUACUCACAUCAGGUUUAUUUUUCGAAACAGCACCCAAACUGUAAGCUUUAGGUGGACUUUACAUUGAAUAUUUUGUUCUAGUAUAACUCCAGACAUCAACAUCAACAUUAUGAAUGCGGUUACAUUGAUACGUGCAAAAUAUAUCAGCUGUUCAAUCCUUA